CGCCAGACUCCUACGGGAGGCAGCAGUGGGGAAUAUUGGACAAUGGGGGGAACCCUGAUCCAGCGACGCCGCGUGAGUGAAGAAGUCUUUCGGUAUGUAAAGCUCUAUCAGCAGGGAAGAAGAAAUGACGGUACCUGAGUAAGAAGCACCGGCUAAAUACGUGCCAGCAGCCGCGGUAAUACGUAUGGUGCAAGCGUUAUCCGGAUUUACUGGGUGUAAAGGGAGCGCAGGCGGCACGGCAAGCCUGAUGUGAAAGCCCGCGGCCCAACCGCGGGACUGCAUUGGGAACUACCGGGCUGGAGUGCCGGAGAGGUAGGCGGAAUUCCUAGUGUAGCGGUGAAAUGCGUAGAUAUUAGGAGGAACACCAGUGGCGAAGGCGGCCUACUGGACGGUGACUGACGCUGAGGCUCGAAAGCGUGGGGAGCAAACAGGAUUAGAUACCCUUGUA
rnacentral:rRNA from 1 species